rnacentral:rRNA from 1 species
UUCUGCUCAAUGGAGAUCUAAAUAGCCGCAGUACCCUGACUGUGCAAAGGUAGCAUAAUCAUUUGGCUUAUAAUUGAAGUCUGGCAUGAAAGAAGCAAUGGGUGGUAACUAUCUUUCAAAUUAUAGUAGAAGUUACUAAUCAAGUGAAAAUACUUGUAUAUUAAUAAUAGACGAGAAGACCCUAGAAACUUUGUAGAAUGUAAUUAAAUGUUACUAACAUUUUGUUGGGGCGACAGAAUAACAGGAAACUUACUCUUAUCUUAUAAGCACUUUAUAUUGUGAAAACUUAAGUUACUCUAGGGAUAACAGCAUAAUUUAUAAAAGUUUGUGACCUCGAUGUUGGACUAGGGAUUUUAAUGUUUAGAAGACGUUAAAACAAGCUCUGUUCGCGCUACUAUCCCUACGUGAUCUGAUUUCAGACCGGA